rnacentral:lncRNA from 1 species
GAUCUACCUUUACUUGCAGUAAGGUAAACUCAAGAGGGCUCCUGAACUAGAUGACAAGAGGACUGGUAGGUGACUGUGGAGAGUGAAAACAGCUAGGUGAAAUUGUAGUGCUUUCAUGACUGCAUGAGUAACUUUGUGCUACUCUUCCAGUCUAAAUACCAUCUCCUUAAAAUGACAUUAGCAUUUUCAUAUGAAGACCUUAAUAUCAAGAGUGAAUCUGAGGGGCUGGGGUUGUGGCUCAGCGGUAGAGCACUCACAUAGCAUGUGCAAGUCACUGGGUUUGAUCCUCAACACCACAUAAAAAUGGAUAAAUAAAAUAAAAAGGUAUUGUGUCUAACUACAACUAACAACAACAACAAAAAAGAGUGAAUCUGAAAUGCCUUUAGACCAAUAACUAACCCCUCCCCCUUUCUCCUCCUUUCCUUACCCCUUCUCCUUUCCCCUCCCUUCUCCUUUUUCUCCUCCCCUUUCUCUUUCCUUUCCUUCCUUUUCCUGCCCUUCCCUCUUCUCUGUCUCCAUUUUCUUUUUGGUAAAUAUACCUAGAACAGAGAUUCCUAGCACAGGAUUACCAGCUAGGGACUUUGGG